UACGGAGGGUGCGAGCGUUGUCCGGAAUCACUGGGCGUAAAGGGCGCGUAGGCGGCUGGGGAAGUCGGCGGUGAAAGCCCGGAGCUCAACUCCGGGUCGGCCGUCGAGACUCCUCGGCUCGAGCUCACUAGAGGCAGAUGGAAUUCCGGGUGUAGCGGUGGAAUGCGUAGAGAUCCGGAAGAACACCGGCGGCGAAGGCGGCCUGCUGGGCAGUUGCUGACACUGAGGCGCGACAGCGUGGGGAGCAAACAGG
rnacentral:rRNA from 1 species